rnacentral:rRNA from 1 species
AUUGAACGCUGGCGGCAGGCCUAACACAUGCCAGUCGAGCGGAGCGGCGGACGGGUGAGUAAUGCCUAGGAAUCUGCCUGGUAGUGGGGGAUAACGUCCGGAAACGGGCGCUAAUACCGCAUACUAUCAGAUGAGCCUAGGUCGGAUUGGCUAGUUGGUGGGGUAAAGGCCUACCAAGGCGACGAUCCCUAGCUGGUCUGAGAGGGUGAGCAGCCACACGGGAACUGGGACACGGUCCCGACUCCUACGGGAGGCAGCAGUGGGGAAUAUUGCACAAUGGGCGCAAGCCGGAUGCAGCCAUGCCGCUUGUAUGAAGAAGGCCUUCGGGUUGGAAAGUACUUUCAGUUGUGAGGCGUUACCCGCAGAAGAAGCACCGGCUAACUCCGUGCCAGCCGCCGCGGUAAUAC